rnacentral:lncRNA from 1 species
GGAGGAGUCUGAGAGAACUUGGGGGUGCUUGAGGAACCCAAAGGUGUGAAGUAAAAGCUGGAAACCAAGAUUGCUGGGAAAGUUCAGAGAAAGUAGAGAUUACUUCGUUUGUUGGAGAUCACAUGCAAGUAUAGACAGGAUUUCCACAUGUCGCCCAGGCUGAUCUCAGACUCCUGACCUGGAUCUUCCCACCUCAGCCACUGAACGUGCUGGGAUUACAGCUUAAAUAGGUCUACUUGAAGUUCACAACUGCCAAAACCGCGUGUUCAGACUGAAAGGCUGGGAGCAUUUCAGACGCAUUUAUGAACUUCCACCAAGAUGAUCCGGCAGGCUGAAAUCGCAGGGAGAGCGUCUGUUCAACAAACCCUUUCUUCUUGAUUGAAUUAGUGUUACCCACUAACAGGAUGAGGAAUUCCCACUCCACAAGCUGACUUUUUUUCCUCUUUCCACCUCCCGCCUCCCUCCAUUAAAAUGUAAACUUGAUUCCUGUGUCCUUUGCCGGAGCCUGGCUUCCCUGUAAGCCCAUCAUAAACAUCUUGGUAGAAAUGCAACUUUUAACCUCUCCUUGAUGGUUUUCCGUCUAACUUUAU